UGAUCCCUUGAAUAUAUAUUU
rnacentral:piRNA from 1 species